UAAUCGCUGCCAGAGAUUAUUCUAACAUGUAUUGACUCAGGAGUGUGAAUACUUAUGUAAAUUAGAUAUUUCUGUAUUUCAUUUUCAAUAAAUUAGCACAAAGUUCUAAAAACACGUUUUCACUUUGGCAUUAUUGGGUAUACUGUGUGUAGAUUGGUGAGAAAAAAUAUAUAUGUAAUCUAUUUUGAAUUCAGACUGUAACACUACAAAAUCUGGAAUAAGUCAAGUGGAAGGCACUGAACAACGUUGCUGAUCCAUCCUGAGUUUUCUUCUAUCACAGCCAUUAAACUCUGUAACUGUUUUAAAUUCACCAUUGGCCUCAUUGUGAAAUCCCUGAGCGGUUUUCUUCCUCCCCUGGCAAGUUAGUCCUUGCAACUUAUGUGACUUGUUAAACAUAUUUUGACUCCUGAACUUAUUUAGGCUUGCCAUAACGAACGGUUGAAUACUUAUUGACUCAAGAUAUUUCGGCGUUUCAUUUUGUAUUAAUUUGUAAACAUUUCUAAAAAACAUAAUUCCAUUUUGACAUUCUGGGGUAUUGUGUGUAGGCCAGUGACACAAAACAACUCACUGUAAUCCAUUUUAAAUUCAGGCUGUAACACAACAACAUGUGGACAAAGUCAAGUGGUGUAUGUCCCUUCUGAAGACACUUUAUGGUAUUAUAAAGUACAGGGGAACUUGGUAGACAAGGCCACGGGAAUAAACAGAUGUUAGAUAAAACAACAAAAGUAUAGCUGACCAAUCCUGGGUUCUCCCUCAGUGUCCAUGUGUGGACUAGCUUCCCACUGUGAACUCUGAAGGACGCUCGGCACUAUCUGGACAAGUUGCAAAGUCAGAAGCCCGACUUAGUUCUACAAUGUAUCUUCUUUAUCUUCUUUAUCUUCAGAUAUUAAACCCAUAACCCUAACAUUAACCACAUUGCUAACCUUAUGCCUAACACUAACCAAAGUGAAUUAAAACAAAAAAAAAGAGCAUUUUUGUGUUUGUACAUUUUUACGAUAUAGCAAAUUUGGACUUUGCAGCUUGGCCAUAUAGUGGAAUCCACUAUGGUCAUCUUUGAAUGUGCCUCCUAGUAGAGCAUUGUGGGAAGAGUGGAGCAUUGUGGGAAGAGUAGAGCAAUGUGGGAAGAGUGGAGCACUGUGGGAAGAGUGGAGCACUGUGGGAAGAGUGGAGCACUGUGGGAAGAGUGGAGCACUGUGGGAAGAGUGGAGCACUGUGGGGAGAGUAGUCUGAGAAAAUAUGACUUACAUUUGGACUCUGGUCAUUUGGAUGAAGCAAUAAUGAUUAAAUUUCCUUGUUUGUAUUCUCAAAACCCUUCUGCUAAUUGGCUAGCUUCCAUGUUAAGAAAUAUAUUAAAAUUGAGUAAACCAACUAUUUCAUAUUUUCCCCAGGCAAACUUUGUGUGACUGUUUUGCUUUUCUUUUGUACUGUAAUAUUCUCCAACCCAUUUUCUAGCUAAUGACUUGUUACAGUUUGGCUUUGAAUUCUAUUGUAUUUCGCUCUGGUUUUCCCUAAAACAAAUUGCAACAGUAUUCUAGAGGGAGGGAAUGGAGAACUUAAACCGAUCAACGCAACAAGACGUUCCAUAAUUGCUUUCCCCCACAAGUGUCCAAUAUGUUUGCCGUCUUCUGACUGUGUAUACCGUAAUUGAGAAAGGGUAUGUGUUUGAAAAUUAUAAAAGUUGUCAAAAAGUUACACAUUUUGUAUUACUUUAACACUUUAAGUGUUGUUUUAACUCCGAUCAGGAACACUCAGUUUCACUAAAAAUGUACCGCUAAACGUGAUUCAUUUCUGUUUUAAAGUACUUACCUCCAUAUAAGACAGAACCGCGUGGACCCAAAAGCUAAAACAAAUCUAUAAUUCAUGGAUAUAAACAAACUUCAGCCUUGAUUAUAUUUAAGUCAUUGAGACAUUAUUAAUAACACAACUUUGUAAUUCCCCUGAUGGAAAAUGCAAAUGGAUGAUGUGGUAACAUAUAUAUAUAAUUUUAUUUAUUUUAUUUCAACUUUAUUUAACCAGGUAGGCAAGUUGAGAACAAGUUCUCAUUUACAACUGCGACCUGGCCAAGAUAAAGCAAAACAGUUCGACACAAACAACAACACAGAGUUACACAUGGAGUAAAACAAACAUACAGUCAAUAAUAUAGUAGAAAAAUAAGUCUAUAUACAAUGUGAGCAAAUGAGGUGAGAUAAGGGAGGUAAAGGCAAUAAAUAGGCCAUGGUGGCGAAGUAAAUACAAUAUAGCAAUUAAAACACUGGAAUGGUAGAUUUAUAUAUAUAGAUUACAUGUAGAUUACAUGUAGUAAACAGAAUAUGAUACAGUUGCUAAAGACUUUUCUAGACAUGAUCUCAAACUCAGUCUACUGUAAUGAAUUGAUAAAACAGGAAGUUGAAGCCGUAAUACAUCUAUUUUUCCUCGCCGUUCACCUCGUCAAACUGAAUCCUACUUCCUACUUAACGUCUUCAAUCUCAAUAUGCUGAUCAUGAGGACCAACAACGUCUCUGUCUGAAAUUGUAUUAAUGCUUCACUUCUAAACACAUUGGUCAUGCAGUGCAUUAUAUAUUAAUAUUGAAUAGAAAGAUAAACAGAUAUUGUAUUAUACACUGUAUGUGUACAGUGAAUUUGGAAGGUAUUCAGAACCCAUUGACUUUUUCCACACUUUGUUACAUUGCAGCCUUAUUCUAAAAUCGAUUAAAUUAUAUUUUUUUCUAAACAUUUUCAAUCUACACAGAAUACCCCAUAAUGACAAUGCAACAUUUUUGCAAAUGUAUAAAAAAGAAAUACCUUAUUUACAUAAGUAUUCAGACCCUUUGCUAUGAGACUCGAAAUUGAGCUCAGGUGCACCCUGUUUCAAUUGAACAUCCUUGAGAUGUUUCUACAACUUGAAUGGACUCCAUCUGUGGUAAAUUCAAUUGAUUGGACAUGAUUUGGAAAGGCAUACACCUCUCUAUAUAAGGUCCCACAGUUGACCAAGCCAUGAGGUCGAAGGAAUUGUCCAUAGAGCUCCGAGACAGGAUUGUUUCGAGGUACAGAUCUGGGAAAGGGUACCAACGCAUUUCUGCAGCAUUGAAGGUCCCCAAGAACACAGUGGCCUCAAUCAUUCCUAUUUAUUUAUUUAACAUUUAUUUAUCUUGGCAAGUCAGUUAAGAACAAAUUCUUAUGACGGCCUACCCCAACAAAACCCUGGGCCUAUUGUGCACCACCCUAUGGGACUCCCAAUCACAGCCGGUUGUGAUACAAUCUGGAAUCGAACCAGGGUCUGUAGUGACACCUCUAGCACUGAGAUGCAGUGUCAUAGACCGCUGCGCCACUCAGGAGCCCAGAGUGGAAGAAGUCUGGAACCACCAAGAGUCUUCCUAGUGCUGGUCGCCUGGCCAAACUGAGCACUCAGGGGAGAAGGGCCUUGGUCAGGGAGGUGACCAAGAACCCGAUGGUCACCCUGGCAGAGCUCCAGAGUUCCUCUGUGGAGAUGGAAGAACCUUCCAGAAGAACAACCAUCGAACAUCUCUGGAGAGACCUGAAAAUGCUGUGCAGCGACGCUCCCCAUCCAACCUGACAGAGCUUGAGAGGAUCUGCAGAAAAUAAUGGGAGAAAACAAAUACAGGUCUGCCAAGCUUGUCACGUCAUACCCAACAAGACGCAAGGCUGUAAUUGCUGCCAAAGGCGCUUCAACAAAGUACUGAGUAAAGGGUCUGAAUACUUAUGUUUUACCUUUAUUUAACUAGGCACGUCAGUUGAGAACAAAUUCUUAUUUUCAAUGACAGCCUAGGAACAGUGGGUUAACUGCCUUGUUCAGGGGCAGAACGACAGAUUUGUAACUUGUCAGCUCAGGGAUUCAAACUUGCAACCUUUCGGUUACUAGUCCAACGCUCUAACCACUAGGCUACACUGUAAAUGUGCUAGCUAAGAUUUUGUUUUAAAUAAAGUCUAAAAUGCUGUUUUUUCUUUGUCAUUAUGGGGUAUUGUGUGUAGAUUGAUUAGUGAAAAAAAUGAUUUAACAAUAAGGCUGUAACGUAUCAAAAUGUGGAAAAAGUCAAGGGGUCUGACUAUUUUCCAAAUGCACCUGCUCAUCUAACAUCUCAUUCCAAAAAAUCAUGGGCAUUAAUAAGGAGUUGGUCUCCUUUUUGCUGCUAUAACAGCCUCCACUCUUCUGGGAAGGCUUUCCACUAGAUGUUGGAACAUUGCUGCAGGGACUUGCUUCCAUUCAGCCACAAGAGCAUUACUGAGGUCGGGCACUGAUGUUGGGCGAUUAGGCCUGGCUGGUAGUCGGCGUUCCAAUUCAUCCCAAAGGUGUUCAAUGGGGUUGAGGUCAGGGCUCUGUGCAGGCCAGUCAGGUUCUUCCACAGCGAUCUCGUCAAGCCAUUUCUGUAUGAACCUCACUUUGUGCAUGGGGGCAUUGUCAUGCUGAAACAGGAAAGGGCAUUCCCCAAACUGUUGCCACAAAGUUGGAAGCUCAGAAUCGUCCGGAAUGUCAUCAGAAAUUAUACAGUAAAACCUAACUUCCUUCCAAUCAAAAUUAAGUCCAGGGAAAAGACAAACUUAGCGACAAUUAGUUAUGCAAAGGUCACUCUGUGAUUUCAAAAAUGUCCCUUUCAUGACACAAACAGAAAAGGCCUCACCCAUGAAUGAAAAAGUGACAUAUCCUCAUAGACACCAGGAGGCAUUUUCCAGGACAGAUAGCGGGUUAGGUCUUUCCAAUCUCAGGUGUAUGAUUAGAAUCAAUUAAAUCACUUCUCCAAUGUCAGCUGUAUGAUUCUCCCAGGCGAAUGAAAUUAUGCAACAAAAAAGUGUGUCCGUGGCCCUUCCUGGCCCUGUCUCGGGCAUCACUCACCUCCACAAAUGAGAUUAAAAUGUGCAGCUCAGGGAUUUCAAAGGGAUAUUUUCCAUCAGAACAUGAAAAGUAAUGGAAAGCCCAAUGUAAGUCGACUUUAAAAGCCUCUGGUGGGGUGGGAGAGUAGCACUGUGCCAACCUCUCUGAAUCACACCGAACCAAAACCCCACUGCCAAAUAAGUGACGUAUUUUAGCCCCGGUAGAUCUUACUAAUAAAUACAUAGGAUUCCGUAGGGUUUCACAACAAACAUUUACAACGGAGACGCUGACAUUUGACUUGAGGCCACCAGACAUUUAUGUGUCUAUUUUUUUUUCUUUCGGUGGCAUGAAGGCUUUUGCUGGCUGUGAUUUCACCGCGUCAUUGUUCCAUGUUAUGGUGUUACAUGCUCUCUUACUUUGUCUGUGUUCCUGUCACAUCACAAGUACAAAAGGGACGGUGAUUAACUUUGAAAUGUCACGUCAACCUAUCCUGCUCCAUGCUGGGUUUCUCUUGUUUACUGUUGACAACCAGGGAUUAAGUGUUUCUAACAAGAGCCAUGACACACGGCUUUGAUUUAUAAACCACAUGUCUUCAGUUCGGGAAGGAGAUAAGGAGACAAGAUUCUUCCUUGAAAUGGGGAACAACUAGGCUACACUGCAUGCGGUCUGUCUAGGAAAGCAGUGCCAUUGUGCUUUCUGAUAACAAUUGUUGGGACUGACUUUUGGUAGAGUAUAGUAUAGUAUGGAACUGCAUGGUAGUGUAUGGCAGAGUAUGGCAGAGCAUGUUAGAGUAUGGUACAACAUGGCAGAGUAUGGUAGAGUAUGAUUGUGCGUAGCAUGGUAGAGUAUGGUAGGGUACGGCACAGUAUGGUAGUGCAUGGUAGUACAUGGUAGAGUAUGGUAGAGUAUGGCAGUGUAUGGUAUGAUAGAUUAUGGUAGAGUACAGUAGUGUAUGGUAGAGUAUGGCACAGUAUGGUAGUGUGUGGUAUACUAUGGUAGAGUAUGGUAGUGUAUGGUAUGAUAGGGUAUGGUGGGGAAUGGCACAUUAUGGUAGAGUAUGGCAGAGUAUGGUAGAGUAUGAUAUGGUAGGGUAUGGUUGGGUAUGGCACAGUAUGGCAGAGUAUGGUAGGGUAUGGCACAGUAUGGUAGAGUAUGGUAGAGCAUGGUAAAGCAUGGUAGUGUAUGGUAUGACAGGGUAUGGUCGGAUAUGGCACAGUAUGGUAGUGUAUGGUAGAGUAUGGUAGAGCAUGGUAGUAUGAUAGGGUAUGGUAGAGUACGGUACAUUAUGGUAGGGUAUGGAGGCGUACGGUAGUGUAUGGUACUGACUGGCAGAGCAUUGAAGAGCAUGGCAGAGUAUGGCAGUGGAUUGUGGAAUAUGGAAGAGUACGGCAGAGUAUGGCAGAGCAUGGCGAAGUAUGGUUGAGUAUGACGGAGUAUGGUGGAGUGCGGCCGAGUACGGUAGAGCAUGGCAUGGUAUGGCAGAGUUUGGCAGGGUAUGAUAGAGUAUGGUUGAGUAUGGUCGAGUAUGGCGGAACAUGGUAUAGUAUGGCAGAGUAUGGAAGAGUAUGGUAGAUUAUGGUAGAGUACAGUAUGGUAGAGUAUGGUAGAGUAUGGUACGGUAUGGUAGAGUAUGGUCGUGUAUGGUGGAGUAUCAUUAUUAUUCAGGAGUCCGGUACUAGAGACAGUCUGAUACAGUAUAUCAUUAUUAUUCAGGAGUACAGCGAUAGAGACAGUCUGAUACAGUAUAUCAUUAUUAUUCAGGAGUACUGCGAUAGAGACAGUCUGAUACAGUAUAUCAUUAUUAUUCAGGAGUCCGGUACUAGAGACAGUCUGAUACAGUAUAUCAUUAUUAUUCAGGAGUACAGCGAUAGAGACAGUCUGAUACAGUAUAUCAUUAUUAUUCAGGAGUACUGCGAUAGAGACAGUCUGAUACAGUAUAUCAUUAUUAUUCAGGAGUACUGCGAUAGAGACAGUCUGAUACAGUAUAUCAUUAUUAUUCAGGAGUACUGCCAUAGAGACAGUCUGAUACAGUAUAUCAUUAUUAUUCAGGAGUACUGCGAUAGAGACAGUCUGAUACAGUAUAUCAUUAUUAUUCAGGAGUACAGCGAUAGAGACAGUCUGAUACAGUAUAUCAUUAUUAUUCAGGAGUACUGCGAUAGAGACAGUCUGAUACAGUAUAUCAUUAUUAUUCAGGGGUACUGCGAUAGAGACAGUCUGAUACAGUAUAUCAUUAUUAUUCAGGAGUACUGCGAUAGAGACAGUCUGAUACAGUAUAUCAUUAUUAUUCAGGAGUACGCCACUAGAGACAGUCUCAUGCAGUCUAGGUAUGGACAAUCAGGCCCAUUUAUUCUUAGCUGAGAACGCUUCCUGGAACCACCGCAGAUUAUGGUUGGCACAUCUUACUACACAAUGUGAUGCCUACAGGGCCUGGGACCUAUCACAUUUACCCGGGAGAAGGAUGAUAAAUGCAUGUUGAAACCACAUAAAAACUGUCUCAACAAGGUAUUGUCUGGGAUUUAAAGGAGCUCUACUUCCUUUAUAACAGACGAUAUCCCCCUUAAAGCGGUUCAGACCUAUUUUAAUACCUUAUUAUGGGAAAAUACAGAGCCCAUAUCGCUUUUAAAAUCUGGUGCUUCUUUGUCUUCUGACAAAUUUACCUAUUCUCCAAUUCUGGCGACAUGUUUUGAGCCGUUAUUCUCUGUCAAUCCUUGUAAGAGACAGCCCCC
rnacentral:lncRNA from 1 species